rnacentral:rRNA from 1 species
AGAGUUUGAUCCUGGCUCAGAAUCAACGCUGGCGGCGUGCCUAACACAUGCAAGUCGAACGAGAAAGGGGAGCAAUCCCUGAGUAAAGUGGCGCACGGGUGAGUAACACGUGACUGACCUACCCUUGAGUGGGGGAUAACCCGCCGAAAGGCGGGCUAAUACCGCAUAAUACCCACGGGUCAAAGGAGCAAUUCGCUCGA